rnacentral:rRNA from 1 species
ACAAGGUGUGGAGCCUGCGGCUUAAUUUGACUCAACACGGGUAAACUCACCCGGCCCGGACACAGGAAGGAUUGACAGAUUGAGAGCUCUUUCUUGAUUCUGUGGGUGGUGGUGCAUGGCCGCUCUUAGUUGGUGGAGCGAUUUGUCUGGUUAAUUCCGUUAACGAACGAGACUCUAGCCUACUAAAUAGACGUUCCGAUCCUCCGAGUCGGACGUUCUUCUUAGAGGGACGGGCGGCGAUUAGCCGCACGAAACAGAGCAAUAGCAGGUCUGUGAUGCCCUUUGAUGUCCGGGGCCGCACGCGCGCUACAUUGAAGGAACCAGCGUGUGCUUUCCCUGUCCGACAGGACUGGGUAACCCGUUGAACCUCCUUCGUGCUGGGGAUAGCAAAUUGUAAUUAUUUUGCUUGAACGAGGAACACCCAGUAAGCACGAGUCAUCAGCUCGUGUUGACUAUGUCCCUGGCCUUUGUUCACACCGCCCGUCGCUACUACCGAUUGAAUGAUUUAGUGAGGUCUUCGGACUGGAACUCGGAUUGGCUUUCGGGUCGAGCCGACGUGCCGGAAAGAUGACCAAACUUGAUCAUUUAGAGGAAGUA